UAAAAGAAACUAUCGAUAAUAUAUACAAAUAAAUUUAUCCUGCGCAAGGCGCCGGUCUUAUACUAGUUGUGUAAUUAAAGAAGAGACGUCGCUUAAUCAAGGCUCAGAAGAAACGUUCCUUAUGGACACGUGUCAGACAUUCACCGCUCUUCCUCUCUCCCUCGACGAAAUCGUUCGAUGCAGCCUCUCUCUUUUCUCCGAUCGGGUUGUCCUCUCUCACUCCGUCGACGCAUCCGAUCAUCUCAUCUCAGCCGUCUGUUACUUCUACCCGUUCUUCGAUGGCAUCCAGUACGGUGAAUUCAUCAUCAAGCAAUACCAACCUUUCCAGAUUCUCAUCCAACCCCUGUUUCCGGCCAUCAAGGCCUUCAAGAGCUUCCCUUUCAAUGGCUUCCUUAUCUUCAUCACUCUCUACUUCGUCGUCGUCAGGAACCAGAAUUUCAGCAGGACUGUAUGGGCAAAACACAGAGAGCAUAGCAUCUGAAAUAUGUGGAUUCAUCACUGUGCUGACCGGAACAGUUAUACUGCAUGAGACGAGGGAAGAGGAACAAGCUUCGUCUGGAACGUUGAGAUGACAUGAAUCAGGGAAGAGCUUUAACGAAGAACAUCUAGUAAGCUUGUACAGUCCUGAGUAUUAGCAAGCAAAGGUAAAACUGAACUUAACUUCGUUUAGACUGAACGAAAAGAUCAUCCAUCAUCAUCAUCAUCAUCAUCUUAUCUAUCUCUAGUGGGGGAACAAUCUAGAGCCUUGUGUGUAUACAUGGAUCGAGUUCAUUUUUGGGGGAUUUGCCGUUCACAUUCAUAUUUUUGUUUUUUACUUCAUAGUCUUUGUUGCGUAACUAGGCUUAGGAUCAAGGUUCUAAAAAUCGGUCUAGGCGGCGCCUAGGCCCCCGCCUAGGCAGCAACUCGGUCCUAUCCGAAACGAUUUUUUUUAAAAAUCCGAUUUUUUUUAAAAAUCCGAUUUAUAUGAUUUAAAUUGGUUUAAACUGUUCUAAAUCGGUUAAAAUCGAUCUAAAAUUGUGUAUAUAUGUUAAAUAAAGCAAUAAUAUUAUUACAAAUCUACAAAUUUGUCUACUUUCUUCUGUUUUGUAUAUCUAAUUUUGAUAAUUCAUCACAAUAAUUUUAUAAUUAAAUUUAAAAAACUAAAAUAUGUUAUACAAAUGUAUAAAAUAUAUAAAAUAAAUCAACAAUUUACUAACGCCUAGGCCUCGCCUAGGCCCCGAACAAUCCGCCUAGUCGCUAGUCCUCUAUAAAGCGCCUAGUUACCGCCUAGCGAUUUUUAGAACAUUGCUUAGGAUUAUAAUCACUUUGUGCAUAACAUUUUCAACUUUCCUUUUGGCUUUGUAAUGGAUUUUUUUUUACAAUGUUUAAUUGUUUUUUAAGAACUCCUAAAUAAGAGACUCUCAUUGGAGCAUAAAAAUGUUGGUAUCUCUUAACUAAAUUUCUUAAGUAAUAUUUAAUACUUAAAAAUUAUUAAGAGACCCAAAGUGAGUUUUUGGGUUAAUGAUGCUCUAAGGACAGAACCUAGGGUGAACCUUUAAAUUCACUCCACCCUUUAGGACCAAUCAAAAUGACACAUAGAUUAUUAAUUAAAAAACAUUAAAUUAGAUAAAAAAUAGCUACAAAAAAUAAAAACGCUAAUUUUAACGACGCUAACGCUUCCAGCUAAACCCUAAACCCUAAAUCUUAAAUUCUAAACCCUAUACCCUAAAUUCUAAACCCAAAUCCAAACCCAUAAACCCAAACCCUAUACCCUAAACCUUAAUCCUAGACCCUAAACCCAAAUUAUAUACCCUAAACCCAAAAACUAGACUAUAAACCUAAACUCUAUACCCUAAACUCAAGUCGUAGAUCCUAAACCCAAACCGUAAAUCUUUAACCCAAAUUAUAUACCCUAAACCCAAAACCUUAACCAUAAGUCCAAACGGUAAAUCUUAAACCAAAACCGUAAAUCCUAAACCCAAAACCUAUACCCUAAACCCAAAUCCUAGACCUAAAAUCCAAACGGUAAACCCUAAAUGCAAACCCCAAACUUAGAUGUUAUGGGUUUGGGUUAAGUUUUACGGUUUGGGUUCAGGGUCUAAGACUUGGGUUUAGGGUAUAGGAUUUAGGUUUAUAGUCUAUUUUUUGGGUUUAAGGUAUAUAAUUUGGGUUUAGGGUCUAGGAUUAGGGUUUAGGGUAUAAGGUUUGGGUUUAGGGAUUUGAAUUUGGGUUUGGGUUUAGAAUUUAGGGUAUAGGGUUUAUAAUUUAAGAUUUAGGGUUUAGGGUUUCGCUAGAAGCGUUAACGUCGUUAAAAUUAGCGUUUUUAUUUUUUUGUAGCUAUUUUUUAUUUAAUUUAAUAUUUUUUAAUUAAUAAUCUAUGUGUCACUUUGAUUGGUCCUAAAAGGUGGGGUGAAUUUAAAAGUUCACCAGUUUUGUUCAGAUUAUAAGAUUUACAAAGUUUAACUCCAAUAAGAGGACUUUAGAGGGAGUUUGGAGAUUGAAAGAGUUUUAUGUUGUUGAACUAGAAAUGAAGAAAUAAUUGACUUUCUCUGUUUCUGUUCUUUCAUUCUUUUGAUUCAUCGUUAUCACUAGGUCUGUGCAGAUUAUUGGUUUAGCUUAGCGUGGACCUAUGCUGAAAAUUUGGGCAAUAGGACUCGAUUCUGGCAUGAACUUGCUUUAUUUGUAUGGACCAUAAAAAUUAAUUCAGACACGGUCGGUAUGUAGAUUUUUGGUCGGUUGGCCCUUAGGGUUUUGGACCACUACAACGUCAUUAGUCAUCAGCAUAAUUUACUUUUUUUUGGUAAUCAGCGUAAUUUACUUUUGUAUGUCUAAGAGAUCAAUAGUCACUGUUGACGAUUAUUAUGCCAUUUUACUUCUUUUGAACUUAUGAAUAUUGGUCAUUUAUUAAAAACAAACUUAUGAAUAUUGGUUGAU